ensembl:lncRNA
GUGAAACAGUCAAAGAAUGGUCAUCAGAUGCCAUCUCCUGUCAUAGCAUCUAUCUUUUGUUUUCUAAUACAAACAAACACCUAGUUUUUUCCACUCUUACAUGUAAUAGAUACUAGUUACACACUCCUGUUGCUGCUGACGAAAGGAGAAGUCCUUUACUCAUUCAGUAAAUAUUACACUCCUGAGAUACCUGAGCAAAGGCGUGAGCAGUAAUUAAGCAAACAUAUAAGACUAAACCUGCAUGUCUGUGGCAUUCAGUGACUGGAAGCAGGGUGGGAAUUCAUUUGCUGAUGGCUUGUUCUGAAACAGGAGUGAAUCUUCAGUCAAAAAUGUCAACGAGAGUGCAAUCACUCUAAGAUGGUUCUCGGUGCAGAUGGACAGUAGCAACAUUAAUCUAGAGACUUUCAGGAGCAAGUGAUUUGUUUUCGAGAUGGCCAGAGGAAUAUCAGGUGAUUCUGAAGACACAGUUUGCAGACGGAGCAUAAAAGGAGACACCAAAACUCAUGAGCAUCCUCAAUAAAGACAAUUCUCCUUAGUAAAGAUAAUUAAUGAGGAUAAGUACCAGGCGUCCAUGGUACUGCCAGUGGUGAGAUCUCUUGGAGCUCAAGAACUUCCUGUAUGUGGGCCAGGGAGUGCUUAGUGGAUGUUAGAGAAAAUGAAUACCGGGAGAUCAUAUAUCAUAUCAUCAAGGAUCUACUUGCCCAUUUGUUUUAUUUACUUAUUCAUGCUUAUUUAUACAUAUUCCUAUUUUCUGUGAGCAACCAUACUUUCAAACAAUAAUAUAAGAAUACAAUCACAAACUAGUUUUGUACUUGUGGAUAUGGAAUGUUUACGAAUAAAUAAAACCUGUUUUAAUUAAGAAGAUUAACCUGUUGAAUGCUUGGCCAUAUCCCAGGUGCCAAGGAUUGGUGAUUUGGGUGUUUCUUAAACAGCAUCAAGUCUGGACCAGUUUACAGAUGCCGUAAUUUUGGCUUCUGCACAAGCUAUACCAUAAAUAAUACAACAUACAGUUCAGUUUAGUUCAAUUCAGUUCAAUCCCUCAUGUAGGACAUGUAUAUGCUAUAGUCAGUGAUAAAGAAUGGCAUUUUCUCACUGUGAAAAUUUCAGAUUUAAUGACACGUGACUAUACAAAACAAACAGAAAUGUACAUCAGCAAUCCUCACAAAAUCCCAAAAUGUACUAGAUUAAAAAAAAACAAACACAAAACACUUAGGCACUUGCUGUUAUAGGAAAAUUAUCAAUGACUGGUUGGUGUGAUGCAUCCUGUUGUGAAGCACAAUUACUGUCACCACUCUAAAGUUGAUUAUUUUCCUAUAACAGCACAUCAACAUGUUUUAAUCCUCUUAGACCACAAAAACAAUGCGUCAACGAUUACAAUUCUUUAUUAAUUAAAGAAUGACACCUCAUACUGUUUAAUCCAUUUAUAAUUACAGUUAACAGCAUCACUUAUCGCUUACGUUACAACAGCUAUGAGCUGUCGUUCACUCGCCAGCCUCUCUUUCUUCGCUCUCUUGAAGGUGGUCAUGUUACAGUGAAACCGUGACACUCGCAUUCCUGAAGACAUGUCCCUGUGCAAGUUGUUACUAUAAAAAUGAUAAUAGAUUAUCAUUAACGGGUGCAUUAGUAUAAACCUUGCAGCUGUAUCUAGUGUCAGAGCUGCUAUUAUAGAAACAACUUCUGGCCAAUCAGAAUCAAGUAUUCAACAAUGCUGCAGUAUUGAAAAUAUUUAAUUUGUUACAUCCUAGAGUAUGUCACAAAUUUGGCAUACAUGGUUUUUGUACUCAGUAAUGCAUUUUCUAAUUUGUGGCUUGAAGCUGUGCAGUGGGUCGAAAUAUAUUAAUCGGUAUGCAACUAUAAACAGUUGAAUGAAUUAAUUAUUAACUAACCAGUUGGAAUGGAAAUAGCCUCUUAAUUCUCUUAACUUCAAAUAAUAAAAUUUAAUUUAAAGCCAUCUCUUUGUAAGAGAUGUAGAUCACGGCACUGUCUAUGAAAAAGGCUAUACAAUAGGAUUUCUUUCUGUAUUUUCUAAUUAAAAUGAUUUUUUAUACGUUUGGCAGGCUCUUGGUGUUAAAUUCUGCAUUGCUGAGUCUAGGAC